UCUGGGAUAGCUUGGUCAGUAGAGCAGAGACUCUUAAUCUCAAGGUCAUGGGUUCGAGACCCACAUAGGGCAAAA